rnacentral:rRNA from 1 species
GCUCAACCGAGGAAGUGCUUCGAAAACUGGUAAACUUGAGUGCAGAAGAGGAAAGUGGAACUCCAUGUGUAGCGGUGGAAUGCGUAGAUAUAUGGAAGAACACCAGUGGCGAAGGCGGCUUUCCGGUCUGUAACUGACGCUGAGAUUCGAAAGCAUGGGUAGCAAACAGGAUUAGAUACCCUGGUAGUCCAUGCCGUAAACGAUGAGUGCUAAGUGUUGGAGGGUUUCCGCCCUUCAGUGCUGCAGCUAACGCAUUAAGCACUCCGCCUGGGGAGUACGAUCGCAAGAUUGAAACUCAAAGGAAUUGACGGGGGCCCGCACAAGCGGUGGAGCAUGUGGUUUAAUUCGAAGCAACGCGAAGAACCUUACCAGGUCUUGACAUACCAUGAAAAGCUUAGAGAUAAGUCUUUCCCUUCGGGGACAUGGAUACAGGUGGUGCAUGGUUGUCGUCAGCUCGUGUCGUGAGAUGUUGGGUUAAGUCCCGCAACGAGCGCAACCCUUAUUAUCAGUUGCCAGCAUUCAGUUGGGCACUCUGGUGAGACUGCCGGUGAUAAACCGGAGGAAGGUGGGGACGACGUCAAAUCAUCAUGCCCCUUAUGACCUGGGCUACACACGUGCUACAAUGGUCGGUACAACG